rnacentral:rRNA from 1 species
UACGGAGGGGCGAGCGUUAUUCGGAAUUAUUGGGCGUAAAGGGCGCGUAGGCGGCUGGGCAAGUCAAAGGUGAAAUCCCUCGGCUCAACUGAGGAACUGCCUUUGAAACUGCCUGGCUUGAGGCCGGGAGGGGGUAGCGGAAUUCCCAGUGUAGCGGUGAAAUGCGUAGAUAUUGGGAGGAACACCAGUGGCGAAGGCGGCUACCUGGACCGGUUCUGACGCUGAUGCGCGAAAGCGUGGGGAGCGAACAGG